GCUCCUGCCUUCUGGGCUUCUGUAACACCUUCCUACCCAUCCUUGGACCCAAGAGACAAGAAACAAAUAGUAUGGAAGGUUUGGGACCUUCUCAGAGGGUCCACAUGCUGCCACAGCCUUCCUUCUCUUGGAACACUCGUGGAAGGAGAUCUUGAGAAAGGAGCACGGGCUGCAGAAUUUUGCACUGGAUCUUAGCCGAAAGGCCAAAAGGCCAAGAGAAGCGCUGGGUCCCUAGAAUGUCGAAUUUAAGGAAGAAGGUUGGGUGCCUGGCGGGGUCUGAGCCCCCUUUCUCAUGGAGAUUCUCCUAAUCUCUCCCGGAUGGUGGGACCACCAUUCCUUGCCUUUUGAAUUCAGAUUCCUUUUCAAAUGAGCUGUGUUUCUUGGUCCUGUUCAAUAUUUCAGCAGGAGGAGCUCAGAAGACGUGGAGGCGGGUCUGCAGAGACACUAAUAAACCACCAAGUGUCUUGAGGAGACAGUGAGGAGACCAGCUCUCCAGAAGGAAAGCCCUGCAAGCCAGGGCAAUUGGAGGCGAGGCCGGCCAGAGAGUCUGGAAGCAGCAUGCAGGCGCCGUCUGCACCAGGCUGCCAGGACCGCGCUCUUCCGUGGGAAACAUUUGAACUGGGAUGUGACCCAGGGUGUAAUUCAGAAGAUCACCCCUCUGCUCAGCAAAGGAAAAGGAAAACAGCAUAGGUCUCCUGACCCUUUCUUUUAUUUCAGCUACAAUUGAAAAAUGGGCACUAAAGCAGACGAUUGGAAUUUCCAGAUCCUAAGAGCGUGUUCCCCAGUCCCUACAAAGAAAGGAUGAUGAAAACGGAGCUGCAAACAGUUCCCCUCAGCACGGCGGGCCCUCAAAGUAUCUCUGCAUCACUUGCUUCCAGAUGCUUCCUAAUUCUUGCUUCUAUUCCACUUUAGCUUUGGGCCCUCUCUUUGGGUGGCAAUUUGAAUACUAUUGUAUUUGGUCCUC